CAGCACCUCAAGUGGUCAGGAUGAUUAUUGGGCCUAAAGCAUCCGUAGCCGGCGCUGUAAGUUUUCGGUUAAAUCUGUACGCUCAACGUACAGGCUGCCGGGAAUACUGCAGCGCUAGGGAGUGGGAGAGGUAGACGGUACUCGGUAGGAAGGGGUAAAAUCCUUUGAUCUAUUGAUGACCACCUGUGGCGAAGGCGGUCUACCAGAACACGUCCGCCGGUGAGGGAUGAAAGCUGGGGGAGCAAACCGGAUUAGAUACCCGCGUAGUCC
rnacentral:rRNA from 1 species